rnacentral:rRNA from 1 species
GACGAACGCUGGCGGCGUGCUUAACACAUGCAAGUCGAACGGAAAGGCCCUGCUUGCAGGGUACUCGAGUGGCGAACGGGUGAGUAACACGUGGGUGAUCUGCACUGCACUUCGGGAUAAGCCUGGGAAACUGGGUCUAAUACCGGAUAGGAGCCAUUUUUAGUGUGAUGGUUGGAAAGUUUUUUCGGUGUAGGAUGAGCUCGCGGCCUAUCAGCUUGUUGGUGGGGUAAUGGCCUACCAAGGCGGCGACGGGUAGCCGGCCUGAGAGGGUGGACGGCCACAUUGGGACUGAGAUACGGCCCAGACUCCUACGGGAGGCAGCAGUGGGGAAUAUUGCACAAUGGGCGCAAGCCUGAUGCAGCGACGCCGCGUGGGGGAUGACGGCCUUCGGGUUGUAAACUCCUUUCGCUAGGGACGAAGCUUUUUGUGACGGUACCUAGAUAAGAAGCACCGGCUAACUACGUG